AGGGAAAUAGCUCAGUGGUAGAGAGUGUGCUUAGCAUGCACGAGGUCCUUGGUUCAAUCCCCAGUACCUCCA
rnacentral:tRNA from 1 species